rnacentral:rRNA from 1 species
GGCUCAGGAUGAACGCUGGCGGCGUGCCUAAUACAUGCAAGUCGAGCGAACGGAUAAGGAGCUUGCUCCUUUGAAGUUAGCGGCGGACGGGUGAGUAACACGUGGGUAACCUACCUAUAAGACUGGAAUAACUUCGGGAAACCGGAGCUAAUGCCGGAUAACAUUUGGAACCGCAUGGUUCUAAAGUAAAAGAUGGUUUUGCUAUCACUUAUAGAUGGACCCGCGCCGUAUUAGCUAGUUGGUAAGGUAACGGCUUACCAAGGCAACGAUACGUAGCCGACCUGAGAGGGUGAUCGGCCACACUGGAACUGAGACACGGUCCAGACUCCUACGGGAGGCAGCAGUAGGGAAUCUUCCGCAAUGGACGAAAGUCUGACGGAGCAACGCCGCGUGAGUGAUGAAGGUUUUCGGAUCGUAAAACUCUGUUAUUAGGGAAGAACAAAUGUGUAAGUAACUGUGCACAUCUUGACGGUACCUAAUCAGAAAGCCACGGCUAACUACGUGCCAG